UGGGGAAUAUUGCACAAUGGGCGCAAGCCUGAUGCAGCCAUGCCGCGUGUGUGAAGAAGGCCUUCGGGUUGUAAAGCACUUUCAGCGGGGAGGAAGGCGUUAAGGUUAAUAACCUUGGCGAUUGACGUUACCCGCAGAAGAAGCACCGGCUAACUCCGUGCCAGCAGCCGCGGUAAUACGGAGGGUGCAAGCGUUAAUCGGAAUUACUGGGGGUAAAGCGCACGCAGGCGGUCUGUCAAGUCGGAUGUGAAAUCCCCGGGCUCAACCUGGAAACUGCAUUCGAAACUGGCAGGCUAGAGUAUUGUAGAGGGGGGUAGAAUUCCAGGUGGAGCGGUGAAAUGCUGAGCAAGCUGGAGGAAUACCGGUUGCGAAGGCGGCCCCCUGGACAAAGACUGACGCUCAGGUGCGAAAGCGGGGGGAGCAAACAGG
rnacentral:rRNA from 1 species